GGUACCGUCAAGUGCAAUGGGUAUUAACCACUACACAUUUCUUCCCUUCUGACAGGGCUUUACGACCCGAAAGCCUUCCUCACCCACGCGGCGUCGCUGCGUCAGGGUUUCCCCCAUUGCGCAAUAUUCCUCA
rnacentral:rRNA from 1 species